ACACAUACACACACAAUACCCAGUUUGUAUUGCAGAAUAAUUGAAGAACUCUCGGUUGAUGGAUGAUGACUAGGUUUGGUGAACACAAAAUAAAGAGAAAGGAGAUCCCUUUAACAUGUAUUCAUAUAUACAUACAUAUAUAUAUAUGUAUACACAUGUACAUACUAGUUUUAUGAUAUGACAUCUCUGGUAAACAAUCUCUUCAAGAUCUUUGAAACUGCAAUGUCCUGCAACAUAUUUGUUACGGAAAAAUCCCUGAAGCAAAAGAAAAGUAUCAAUUAAGAAGAAGAAGAAGAAGAAACAAAGGACUAUGAACAUGUGUAUAUAUAUAUAUAUACAAUACUUAAUUAGUACAUAUAUGUAUAUAUAAGGGUGUAGCUCAAUUGUUAUGAUCUUUUGUUAUCAGAUCCUCCCGGUAAUAUUCCACAACCUUCUUGAAUUGAUAAUUGCAUAUGCUUAUUAAAUAAGCUGCUUUUUUCCCUCAAUAACUUACGUACACAGUUCAAGAAAGCUGUGGAAGACCACAAAGAGAACCCAUAAGCACUUAAUUGCAGAAGCACUUAUAUCAACCUCCACCAACCUUAAAAAACCCUUCAUGGUAUACAAUCAUAUAAAAAUACACACACACACACAUAUAUAUCAUUUAGAGAGAGAAAGAGAGAAUGUUGAUCGGUGAAGCGGGAAUAUGUGGUUUAUAUAUAAGAAAGCUAAAAGGUUAGGUUUCGUCUAUGGUGAAGGGAAGUACAGUGACUGUGCAAUGAGCCAAUUGAACUUCACCAACUCACCAACUCACUGACCAAAACUACUGUCACUCAGCUCACUCUUUUCCUAUUUGCCCAUACACAUGCAUAGAUACAUACAUGGUGUGUGUGUGUGUGUGCGUGUGUAAUGCAACUUUCAUGCUUUUCACCAACCACUGCUUUCAAAUGAAGAAACUACACACUGCUUUUUCAGUUUCCUAUUUUACAAUUUCAGAAGAAGUUAUUUACUCGGUUAAAUAUCAUGUUUUAAGAGCAUUUUACU
rnacentral:lncRNA from 1 species